rnacentral:rRNA from 1 species
CGUGUAGGCGGCUUCUCAAGUUAGCUGUGAAAUCUUCUGGCUUAACUGGAAGAGGUCAACUAAAACUGAGAGGCUAGAGGGCAGCAGAGGAAGGUGGAAUUCCCGGUGUAGCGGUGAAAUGUGUAGAUAUCGGGAGGAACACCAGUGGCGAAGGCGGCCUUCUGGGCUGCACCUGACGCUGAGGCGCGAAAGUGUGGGGAGCGAAGUGGAUUAGAUACCCACGUAGUCCACACCCUAAACGGUGGACACUAGGUAUAGGGGGGUAUCGACCCUCUCUGUGCCGUAGCUAACGCUUUAAGUGUCCCGCCUGGGAACUACGGCCGCAAGGCUAAA